AUCAAACAACCCGUUCCUCUUCCCCAUAAACCCUUUCAAAUCAAACAACCCGUUCCUCUUCCCCAUAAUCCCUUUCUCUUCUCACAAUUAAUCUUUUUCUCUCUCCCUCCUCAAAGAAAUUCAUCUUCUUUCUAAAAUCCUAAAUGGCACCAUCAUCAAAUCUUCAUCUGGCCCUUAUUCCAAUUGAUAACUCAGAAAAUCUCUUAGAGUUACCGGCAGUUAUGUUCAUCGACCACCAAGGAAUAACCCAUUUUUCUUACCCAUUAAUGGAGGACGCCCUAAGUAAGGGGGAAGAGAACAGAGUUUAGGGAAAAUUUGAUUGCACAACGUAAGGGGGAAUCUGGAAAACUGAGAGGCCAUGGGUUGAGUGUGGAAUCGGAAAAACGAAGCAGCCAUGGGUUGUGUGAAGAAUCAAUGGAGGGAACACCUAGUUUAUCAAAGAACAUGUUCUUCUCUCGUCUAAAGAUGAUGAUAUUCCUAUCAUCAAAAUGGUUCCCAAGAAAGUUCAUUCACUCCUCCGUCAUCAAAGAGCUAUUGUUCAUCAUAAUAGUCUAUCUACACAAGGAACUCAAGCAACACUGAAAAUCGUCCAACAGUGACUUCAAGACAACGGUCUGUUACAAGUACUUGUAAAGCAGUGGCAUGAACAAACCAUUAAGGAUGUAAUUGGCGAUGUUGAUCUUGCUACUUUUCCUCCACUCUCAAGAGGCCCGAGUGCACAAAUGCAAAGAUUAAGAUCUUCAGUGACUGCUAAGGAUGAGGAAAUUGAGACCUUGAAAGCCUCUCACAUGACUGAGAUUGGACAGGUACACAUUGAAUAUGGCUGAAAGAUGGGUCGGUUGAAAUGUAAAAUUUCUAAGCUUAAAAAGAAACUUGCUAAGACUCAGAAGGCUUUGGAUGAUGAGCUUGCUUCUAACUCUACCCGUUUACAGCAAGUUUGUGGUCUUUUGGCAAAACCUACGUCUCCUUCUGUGUAAUCCUUAGUGAUAUUGGGCUAUGACUUGAUGUUUUGAUAUUUAGUUGUUUAUGCUUUGUUAGGCAUUUCUUUUGAUGGGACAAAUGGUUUGUUUGUAAUCUAUUUAUGAUGUAACUAAUGACUUAGUUGGUUUUUGGUGCU